rnacentral:rRNA from 1 species
GACGAACGCUGGCGGCGUGCUUAACACAUGCAAGUCGAACGGUGACGGAGAGCUUGCUCUCCUGAUCAGUGGCGAACGGGUGAGUAACACGUGGGCAACCUGCCCAGACUUCGGGAUAACGCUUCGAAAGAGGUGCUAAUACCGAAUACGAACGCCGUGGGCAUCCACGGUGUUGGAAAGUUUUUCGGUCUGGGAUGGGCCCGCGGCCUAUCAGCUUGUUGGUGAGGUAAUGGCUCACCAAGGCGACGACGGGUAGCCGGCCUGAGAGGGCGACCGGCCACACUGGGACUGAGACACGGCCCAGACUCCUACGGGAGGCAGCAGUGGGGAAUAUUGCGCAAUGGGCGAAAGCCUGACGCAGCAACGCCGCGUGGGGGAUGAAGGCCUC